UUCCAAGGUAAUCCCCUCUCAAGAGAGCCAACUAGUGUUCCUCCUACCCAUCCCCCCAGAAACCUAGCAACUUGGGAUAAAAUCUGGCAUGCCCAAGGUCUGUGAGUAAGAGGAUGUUUCCUUUUGACCUUUGCCUACAUAGAUGCCUACAUCC